AAAAUCCNCCNACUUUAAAAAUCGUGAGGGUUCAAGUCCCUCUAUCCCCA
rnacentral:tRNA from 1 species